rnacentral:rRNA from 1 species
GACAGAGGCCUCGAGCGUUAGGCGGAAUCACUGGGCUUAAAGCGUGUGUAGGCGGGCCCCUAAGUACCUUGUGAAAUCCCACGGCUCACCUGUGGAACCGCUGGGUAUACUGGGGGCCUUGGGCCAUUCAGGGGCGACUGGAACAAGCGGUGGAGCGGUGAAAUGCGUAGAUAUCGCUUGGAACGCCGACGGUGAAAACAGGUCGCUGGGAAUGUGCCGACGCUGAGACACGAAAGCCAGGGGAGCAAACGGG